rnacentral:rRNA from 1 species
AUUGAACGCUGGCGGCAGGCCUACCACAUGCAAGUCGAACGAGUGGCGGACGGGUGAGUAAUGUCUGGGAAAAUGCCUGAUGGAGGGGGAUAACAACUGGAAACUGUAGCUAAUACCGCAUACCAUCGGAUGUGCCCAGAUGGGAGUAGCUAGUAGGUGGGGUAACGGCACACCUAGGCGACGAUCCCUCGCUGGUCUGAGAGGAUGACCAGGCACACGGGAACUGAGACACGGGCCAGACUCCUACGGGAGGCAGCAGUGGGGAAUAUUGCACAAUGGGCGCAAGCCUGAUGCAGCCAUGCCGCGUGUAUGAAGAAGGCCUUCGGGUUGUAAAGUACUUUCAGCGGGGAUGCGUUACCCGCAGAAGAAGCACCGGCUAACUCCGUGCCAGCAGCCGCGGUAAUUC